GCGGAUGUGGCGGAAUUGGCAGACGCGCUAGACUUAGGAUCUAGUAUCUUACGAUGUGGGGGUUCGACUCCCUUCAUCCGCACCA
rnacentral:tRNA from 1 species